GACGAACGCUGGCGGCGUGCUUAACACAUGCAAGUCGUACGGUAAGGCCCUUUCGGGGGUACACGAGUGGCGAACGGGUGAGUAACACGUGAGUAACCUGCCCACAACUUUGGGAUAACGCUAGGAAACUGGUGCUAAUACUGGAUAUGUGCUCCUGCUGCAUGGUGGGGGUUGGAAAGCUCCGGCGGUUGUGGAUGGACUCGCGGCCUAUCAGCUUGUUGGUGGGGUAGUGGCCUACCAAGGCGGCGACGGGUAGCCGGCCCGAGAGGGUGACCGGCCACAUUGGGACUGAGAUACGGCCCAGACUCCUACGGGAGGCAGCAGUGGGGAAUAUUGCACAAUGGGCGCAAGCCUGAUGCAGCAACGCCGCGUGCGGGAUGACGGCCUUCGGGUUGUAAACCGCUUUCAGCAGGGACGAAGCUUUUUGUGACGGUACCUGCAGAAGAAGCACCGGCUAACUACGUG
rnacentral:rRNA from 1 species